UUUCACCACUGGAUGGAGACAAACACACACAGCGGCUUAUUCCCAUUGACUUUCUCUCCGUCCGCAAUGCGCGCCUUUCACCACUGGAUGGAGACAAACACACACAGCGGCUGAUUCCCAUUGACUUUCUCUCCGUCCGCAAUGCGCGCCUUUCACCACUGGAUGGAGACAAACACACACAGCGGCUGAUUCCCAUUGACUUUCUCUCCGUCCGCAAUGCGCGCCUUUCACCACUGGAUGGAGACAAACACACACAGCGGCUGAUUCCCAUUGACUUUCUCUCCGUCCGCAAUGCGCGCCUUUCACCACUGGAUGGAGACAAACACACACAGCGGCUGAUUCCCAUUGACUUUCUCUCCGUCCGCAAUGCGCGCCUUUCACCACUGGAUGGAGACAAACACACACAGCGGCUUAUUCCCAUUGACUUUCUCUCCGUCCGCAAUGCGCGCCUUUCACCACUGGAUGGAGACAAACACACACAGCGGCUUCUUCCCAUUCAUUUUCUCUCCGCCUGCAAUGCGCGCCUUUCACCACUGGAUGGAGACAAACACACACAGCGGCUUCUUCCCAUUCAUUUUCUCUCCGCCUGCAAUGCGCGCCUUUCACCACUGGAUGGAGACAAACACACACAGCGGCUUAUUCCCUAUUCAUUUUCUCUCCGCCUGCAAUGCGCGCCUUUCACCACUGGAUGGAGACAAACACACACAGCGGCUGAUUCCCAUUGACUUUCUCUCCGUCCGCAAUGCGCGCCUUUCACCACUGGAUGGAGACAAACACACACAGCGGCUGAUUCCCAUUGACUUUCUCUCCGUCCGCAAUGCGCGCCUUUCACCACUGGAUGGAGACAAACACACACAGCGGCUUCUUCCCAUUCAUUUUCUCUCCGCCUGCAAUGCGCGCCUUUCACCACUGGAUGGAGACAAACACACACAGCGGCUUCUUCCCAUUCAUUUUCUCUCCGCCUGCAAUGCGCGCCUUUCACCACUGGAUGGAGACAAACACACACAGCGGCUUAUUCCCUAUUCAUUUUCUCUCCGCCUGCAAUGCGCGCCUUUCACCACUGGAUGGAGACAAACACACACAGCGGCUUAUUCCCAUUGACUUUCUCUCCGUCCGCAAUGCGCGCCUUUCACCACUGGAUGGAGACAAACACACACAGCGGCUGAUUCCCAUUGACUUUCUCUCCGUCCGCAAUGCGCGCCUUUCACCACUGGAUGGAGACAAACACACACAGCGGCUGAUUCCCAUUGACUUUCUCUCCGUCCGCAAUGCGCGCCUUUCACCACUGGAUGGAGACAAACACACACAGCGGCUUCUUCCCAUUCAUUUUCUCUCCGCCUGCAAUGCGCGCCUUUCACCACUGGAUGGAGACAAACACACACAGCGGCUUCUUCCCAUUCAUUUUCUCUCCGCCUGCAAUGCGCGCCUUUCACCACUGGAUGGAGACAAACACACACAGCGGCUUCUUCCCAUUCAUUUUCUCUCCGCCUGCAAUGCGCGCCUUUCACCACUGGAUGGAGACAAACACACACAGCGGCUGAUUCCCAUUGACUUUCUCUCCGUCCGCAAUGCGCGCCUUUCACCACUGGAUGGAGACAAACACACACAGCGGCUUCUUCCCAUUCAUUUUCUCUCCGCCUGCAAUGCGCGCCUUUCACCACUGGAUGGAGACAAACACACACAGCGGCUUCUUCCCAUUCAUUUUCUCUCCGCCUGCAAUGCGCGCCUUUCACCACUGGAUGGAGACAAACACACACAGCGGCUUCUUCCCAUUCAUUUUCUCUCCGCCUGCAAUGCGUACAUUUCACCACUGGAUGGAGACAAACACACAGCGGCUUCCUUGCCCUGUGAGGGUCCGGUGAACUACAACUCCCAGGCGCGGCCCCGCCCCCUCCCCGGCUGUAUUCACAGGGGGACAUUUUGGGCCGGGGUGCCUGAGACGCCAUCUUGGGGCCGGGCGGAAGUCCAGCGAGAGCGGGAGGCCUCCGCUUCCUAGCGCGCCGGGCCCCGCGCUCACUUCCGGAGGGGAGGAGGGGAGGGCAGUUCCUCGAUGGCGGCGGAGAGAAGGAAGCGGCAGGUAACCUCCGAAUAAAGUUUAUGAAGAAGGCCCUGUGAGAUCUUGGGAUACAGAAUACAAUACAAAGGCCGAGAAGAAGACAUCCCGUACUAUUUGGGAGAUCAUCUCCGUGAACUUCUGGCAUAAUAUUGGAAUCGUAAUUUUAAAAAGAAUGGAAAAUCUCCAUCCCUGUUCCACAUCACAUACAGGGGAGAAUCUGCAGAACUAUAUGGACGGCAGGAUAUGUGUGAUGGGGAGAAGUUCUCUUACUAAGCAUCAACAAACGUAUACAGGAGGGAAGCCAUAUACGUGCAAGGAAUGUGGGAAGAGCUUCAGGCAGACCGGAGACCUCAACCGCCAUCGAAGGACGCACACCGGGGAGAAGCCGUUUACGUGCAAGGAGUGCGGGAAGAGCUUCAGUCAGAGCGGAGAGCUGCGUUACCACCAAAGGACCCACACCGGGGAGAAGCCACACCAGUGCGCGGAAUGUGGGAAGAGCUUCGGGCGGAGUGGAGAUCUCCAUCGCCAUAAGAGGACCCACACGGGGGAGAAGCCCUACAAAUGCAUGGAGUGCGGGAAGAGCUUCAACCAGAGCGGAGAGCUGUGUUCCCACCAAAGGACCCACACCGGAGAGAAGCCGUAUCAGUGCAUGGAGUGUGGGAAGAGCUUCAGCCGGAGUGACAGCCUGCGUUACCAUCAGAGGACCCACACGGAGAAGCCACACCAGUGCAUGGAGUGCGGGAAGAUCUUCACCCUGAGUGAACACCUGCAAUCCCAUCAGUGGACCCACACAGCUGAGAAGCCAUAUCCGUGCACAGAGUGUGGAAAGAGCUUCAGCCAGAGCGCAGAGCUGCGUACCCACCAGAUGACCCACACCGGGGAGAGGCCACACCAGUGCAUGGAGUGCGGGAAGAGCUUCAUCCGGAGAGGAGACCUCCGCCGGCAUCAGAGGACCCACACGGGGGAGAAGCCACAUGUCUGCCUGGAGUGUGGGAAGAGCUUCAGCCAGAGGGGGCACCUGCACUCCCACGAGUGGACCCACACGGGGGAGAAGCCCUUUCAGUGCAUGGAGUGUGGGAAGAGCUUCAGCCUGAGUGGGCGUCUGCGCCGCCACCAAAGGACCCACGCAGGGGACAAGCCGUAUCAAUGCGUGGAAUGUGGGAUGAACUUCAGCCAGAGCGAAGAUCUGCUUUCUCACCAAGUGACCCACACACAGAUAAAGGAAGAGCCCUGCCUUUGAGUUUCCUAGUUCUGCAGUGAUGAGAGAGUUCUGGAAAAGGAUAGUUUUUUGGGAGCAGAUAAAGGCAUGCCUUCGUCCUGUUUGUUGGAGCCCUGACUCGGAAGGAGAUUAUGUCUCGAUUGGUCUCCCACACAUCGUCAAGGGUUAUGGGCCCAGCACACUUCCAGGGAAAGCGUGCUGGGCCCAUAACCCUUGUCGAUGUGUGGGAGACCAGUCGAGACAUAAUCACCUUCUCCGUCUCAAUUGCUCCACUUCCAAAGACAUGGAAUUUCAGUCCAGUCCCACAGAAAAUAAGCUGGUGAUUAUAUCUCAAUUAAUCUCCCACACAUAAUAAUAAUAAUAAUAAUAAUAAUAAUAAUAAUAAUAAUAAUAAUAAUAAUAAUAAUUUUAUUUUUGUACCCCGCCACCAUCUCCCCAGAGGGACUUAGGGCGGCUUACAGAUAUAAACACAUGGACACAUAAACACAUGGAUCUUGGCUCCGCUGCCUCGGUUUCCCUUCUGGACUCUGGACUCGCUCCUGUCACCCUGUCCUGGACUCUUUUGUGUCCCGAUUCAUUGACUCUUAAGUUCUGGACUGACUUCGUGGCUUGAUUUUUAGACUUUGGUUUGUAUCCUUGCCUAUCCGGCUUGACUUCAGGACUCUGACUUUGUGUUAUCGAAGGAUUUCAUGGCCGGGAUCACAGGGUGGUUUGGUUGUGUUUUUUCCGGGCUGUCUGGUCAUGUUCCAGAAGCAGCAUUCUUUCCUGAUGUUUUGCCCACAUCUAUGGCAGGCAUCCGGUGUGUGGUGCAGUGUGAGAAGGAGUCUGCGCUGUGUGGAAAAGGGUUUUGGGUGAUUUAUGAUGUUGUAGCUAAGGCCUGAUAUAGUUGGGCAGUCGUGUGAAACUCUUGUAUUACGAAAAAUAAAGAUGUGUGUUAGCUUCCA